GCCGGACAAAGAGCGAGAAACCGCUACUGCGUAGGAGGAGAAAGAACAGAAGACAACCAAGAAUCCGAGAUACAAAGAACGGACUAAAUUCCAAGUUCGUAGCCUCAGAGUUGCUGCGUAGGACGCACUUUAGGACACUUUUUUACACUGUUGAAAAAUAAAUAUGCUUUCCGGGAUCAAGUUCAUACCCCGCGACCAAGCAGAAGAUGAAGAUGGGGGUGCUUCUAUAGAAAAGAGUAAAAACUCAGGGAGUACAAGGGAAAAAAAUAGGAAAAAUAAAAAGAGUUCGCGAUAUAGCAGUAGUUCAGAGGAUGAUGGUGGGAGAAUAAAAAAAGUAUCUAGGAAAAAGAAGAAAUGGCACUCUUCUGAUGAAAAUUCAUCACCAGAUUUAAGUGAUAGUAAUAGCAGUGAUGACAGUUCUGACCGGAAUGAAAAGAAACAAAGGAAUAAAAGAAAGAAUAAGAGAAGAAAUCAUUAUAGUUCUGAGAAUGAGGAUAGCAAUAGGUCAAAGAAGAGAUCAAGAAGUGGUAAGAAGCAUUACUCAGCCAUGGAAUAUUCAUCAUCUGCCUCUGAAGACGAGGGAAAAGGUGGAAGGAAGAGAAAGGAGGAAAGAGAGGAAAAGGAAGUUGGCAAUGAUUUUCCUGAGAAGAUAGAAAUUACAAGAAAAGAAAUGGGUUUGGAUUGGAUGCUUAGACCUGCAGACAAGUCCGAUGGAAGGCCUGCAGUGAAUGUUGAUGACCAGCCAGAGAAACCACCUGUUCAGGAGAUGAAUAGAGUGAAUCCCAGGGAAUUGAAUCCAUAUCUGAAGGAUAAUGGAAGUGGUUAUCCAGAUGAUGCAGAAGAGAAAAGAACAGGUGGACAUCGACUUCCUUCUUCUUCGCUUGUUGGGGAUGGAGGUGCAAGCUGGAGACUAAAAGCCUUGAAGCGUGCAAAAGAGCAAGCAGCCCGAGAGGGAAGAAAACUUGAAGAGGUUGUGGAAGAAAGAUGGGGUUCUCUUGGUCUUUUGGCUGUCUCUGCUGUUUCUCAGACAGCUGCCCCGGCUCGUGCUCAUCUACAAGCCAUAAAAACUAGACAGAGGGGGUUAGUAGGGGAACACCAAACUGAUGCUGAUGGUCAAAGUGAGAAAGCUGUAGAAAAGAAUGCUGGUCGAGACUACUUAAAGGAUGUAUCUGUCCGACAUCCUGAAAUGAGAGCUCCCAAAGUACAUGAUUCUUUGUCCUGGGGAAAACGAAAAAGUCAAAAUGUGUCUGCUAAGGAUGCUGGCCUCAUUAAUGCUGCAGUUUCUAGCUUAAAUAAGUUUGCUGAUGAUGGAAGCUUUAUGAGCAAACUUCUUAGUCAGCAGAAUAAUGAUCUUCCUGAUUCUGUUGGUUCCCACAUAAAUCAAGAUGAGAAUGUAGAUGCUUCAUUUGAAAUGAAGAGACCUGGUGAAGGCAUCACAGCUGUUAAGGAAGCAUCGAGUGCAAACCAGCUGGCAGCCAAGGCUUUGCAGCUUCGUAUGAAAGGGAAGCAUGAAGAAGCUGAUAAACUCAUGCAAGAGGCUGAGAAAAUAAUGGUAAAGCAAAGUUCUGGAGAAAAUUCAAGUAGACCUCAAAAUAUCAGAAGCACCAACAGUUAUGAUAUUCAAGGUAUUUCUGCCCGAAAAAAGGAAGAUGACGCUGAUAAGCAUCUAGCUCAAAAAAUAAUCCAGAAUAAACAAUAUAGUUUAUCUGGUCGGGCAGAUGAUGAAUAUGAUUUUGAAGAUGGACCAUGCCGAAAGUCUAGGAAGAAGGUUGCAACUCAGCAAGAGCGUUGCCUUUUUUGCUUUGUAAUCAGCCAAAACACCUUGUUGUGUCUAUUGCAAACUUCACGUAUUUGAUGUUGCCACAGUGGCAGCCUGUUGUUCCAGGCCAUUGUUUUAUCUUACCAAUGCAGCAUGAAUCAGCCACAAGGAGUGUUGACAAUUAUGUAUGGGAAGAAAUUCGCAAUUUCAAGAAAUGCCUUAUAAUGAUGUUUGCGAAACAAGGGAAGGAUUUAGUGUUCCUUGAAACAGUAAUGGGGUUGGCACAACAACGUUGUCACUGUUUAAUUGAGUGCUUCCCCCUGCCACAAAAAAUUGCUAAACAGGCCCCUCUCUACUUUAAAAAGGCAAUUGAAGAAGUUGAACAUGAGUGGAGCCAGCACAAUGCAAAGAAGCUGAUUGAUACAAGUGUCAAGGGGUUGCGUGGUUCAGUCCCCAAGGACUUCCCUUACUUCCAUGUUGAGUUCGGCUUAAACAGUGGCUUUGUCCACGUUAUCGACGACGAGAUGCAAUUCAAAAGUACCUUUGGACUUGAUGUAAUAAGAGGUAUGCUGCGUUUGCCAGAAGAAGAGGUAUAUCGUCGACGGAGGCACGAGUCAGUGGAUGCAAAAAGGCAAGCAUUUGCAAAUUUUGCACGAGACUGGGAAUCUUUUGACUGGACAAAACAGCUUGACUAAGUCUUUCAAAUAUGCAAAGUUCUACGGAUGGAUCUAGCCAUUUUCUAAACAAAUGAGAUUUCUCCUUUAUUAUAUUAUAUAAAUAAAGUUUGUUUUAUUAUACUAACAUGAAUUGAUUUUUUUUAAUUUAAUAUUUCUAUAUAUCAAGUUUUUUAAAGCCG
rnacentral:misc_RNA from 1 species